UUACAUCUGCUGUUUAGUUUGGUAAAUUGAGAAAUUUUAAGAUUUAAUGCAGCAAUUGACCGGUGGAUUUUCCUUUGAAUUUAUAUUAUAAUGAAUGCUUCGUAUGGUGGCGAUAAUUGGGAAAAUCUCCAUAACCAUGAAUAUUGUGUAUUUUGUAUUAAUGUUUUAAUUUGAUAAAUUAAAAAAACCAACAGAAAGCGUCAUGACGUAGCAGAAUUUAUUUUGGUAAUGUUGUGAUUGGGUAAUCUUCAAGGACUGUAGAGGAACCUUGAGUCUGAUCAUCAAUUCACAGACAACAAUGUGUCAAUGUUAAGUGUGCGGCUUGGGAUCUCCAAUAUCCAUCUGAUUUCUUCUCCCACAUUUAGCAAGAUCAGAUUGAUUAUAGAAUUUCAAUUAUUCAAUAUCAAGAGGCUUAGGGUCAUAGGAUGAAUACGUCACCUGCUCACAUAUGCUUAAACAAUAAUUGUCAACUCUGGAUUGCUCAAGUUGGGUGCCAGAUUUCUACUCUUACACUGAGCACUUGAAGAGUUAACGACCUUUGUUAACCUAAGUGACCGCUCCCUGCCAGGUGAUUGCAUUCUCAUGCAUAAGGUCUUCCAUGUUUAUUUCGGACAUAAGCUUAGACAAAGUCUAUGCCUCAUAGUCAAAUCAUUCAACUUGGGAAUUCCAAUCUUUCUACUUUGGAUAAUCGUAUAUUGUAAUUUCAACAAUAUUCUUGGCCUGUGCUGACCUUUUGGAUGUUUGGACGAAAGGAAAUAUCCAUGCAUACAUGGCUGUUGGUCACUAAUAAAAGGAGAUUGCAAGAAACAAAGACAAGGAUGAGUGUUAUAUCAAUCUGUGUCAGGAGGUUUAUGAUUGGUAUACAGGCAAUGGAAAGCAUAUCAUCUUUUGAAUAGUUUGAAGAUCCUUUUGUACAGAACAUUUAUGUUACAAAUAGCUAGUGGAAUACAAAGUUUAUUGUCAGUAUAGUUAUAGCUUCCUUUCUUGUCUUAUUGUAUUUGGUGCUUAAGGAUAUAUAUAUACAUAUUUUAUCUAAUAUAGCUCAAGGAACAAUAUAUGAUGCACAUGAUAUGUUGGCAAGGUUACAACCUAAUUGCCUUUGCAGCAUGAAUAAAGAGCUGCAAGCAUCUUUAUGUUGUCACAACAACUUGGCAUACUGCUGGUCCUAUUUGUUUGUACGAGAAUAUAUUAUUGCGACAAUUGAAUGGGUUAUGAGAUAGAAAAAAGUUAAAAUAAAAUUACUCUAUUGUUAU
rnacentral:misc_RNA from 1 species